rnacentral:rRNA from 1 species
UGUGUAGGCGGUGUUCUAAGUCUGUUGUGAAAUCUCCCGGCUUAACUGGGAGGGUGCGGCGGAGACUGGAAUGCUAGAGUAUGGGAGAGGUAAGCGGAAUUCCUGGUGUAGCGGUGAAAUGCGUAGAUAUCAGGAGGAACACCUGUGGUGUAGACAGCUUACUGGACCAUGACUGACGCUGAGACACGAAAGCGUGGGUAGCAAACAGGAUUAGAUACCCUGGUAGUCCACGCCCUAAACGAUGCAUACUUGGUGUGAGCCAUUCAUUUGGUUCGUGCCGGAGCUAACGCGUUAAGUAUGCCGCCUGGGGAGUACGGUCGCAAGGCUGAA